rnacentral:rRNA from 1 species
GAAUUUUGGACAAUGGGGGCAACCCUGAUCCAGCCAUCCCGCGUGUGCGAUGAAGGCCUUCGGGUGGUAAACCACUUUUGGCGGGGAAGAAAAGGCUCGGCCUAAUACCUGAAGCUGCUACGGGUACCUGCAGAAUAGGCACCGGCUAACUACGUUCCAGCAGCCGCGGUAAUACGUAGGGUGCAAGCGUUAAUCGGAAUUACUGGGCGUAAAGCGUGCGCAGGCGGUUCGGCAAGAAGGAUGUGAAAUCCCAGGGCUUAACCUUGGAACUGCAUUCUUAACUGCCGGGCUAGAGUAUGUCAGAGGGGGGUAGAAUUCCGCGUGUAGCAGUGAAAUGCGUAGAGAUGCGGAGGAAUACCGAUGGCGAAGGCAGCCCCCAGGGAUAAUACUGACGCUCAUGCACGAAAGCGUGGGGAGCAAAC